GUAUUUAGGAGUGGGUGUCGUUUCCUCUUUCAUUUGGUGGCUCUGUUUAGAUAAUGCCGAGGGGAGAGAGAAAGAGUUCGAGUGGCGGAGCAGAGGAGGCAAUUCCUUCUGUUCAUGUCGAUUCCGAGAUAUUCCACCGCUCGAUCUUGAUUUCUCUUCCCUUUCUCUUUGAUCCCUGGCUGCCGCGGUCGGUUGUUCUUGUCUCUCGCCCUCCCCGGUCUUCAGUUUCCCUGGUUCCUGAAUCUCAAUGAAUUAGUGUGUACUAGGCCUGCAGUGCUGAUGUAGUGUUAGUCCAUGGAUUUUUCUUAUUUUUGUCAGUGCAAUAUACCUCAGAAUUACAGUGUAAUGUAUCCCAUAAUUGGAGUGUGAUCCCCAUGCUUCUUUAUUCUAAUUACAGUGUAAUGUACCCUAAAAUUAUAGUGUAUUCUAGCCCAGAUGGCACUGUAUAUGCCUACAAUUGCAUUUUCGUUUACUAACCCCAGAUUUACAGUGUAAUAUACCCCAGAUUUUCACUGUAUUUUGUAUGCUUCAGGACUGUAAUUAUUGCAUGGUUCCCAGUUUUACACUGUAAUUUGCAUGGUACAGCACUGUAAUUGUUGUAGGGCUUUCAGUUUUUGUCAGAUAGAUUACUUUCAAAUGUUUCAUCACUGUAAUAUACCCUAGAUUUUCUCUGUAAUUUAUAUGCUUCAGAACUGUAAUUGUUAUAUGCUUCAGAUAGAUUACAUUGGCUUCUUCGUCUGGGCUUACACUGUAGUAUGCCAUAGUUUUACACUAUAAUUUGUAUGGUUCGACAUUGUAUUUGUUGUAGGUAUUUGCGAGGUAGAUUACAGUGGAUUUUACCUUUGAAUUGGAGGGCUUACACUGUAAUUUACUGCAGAUUUACACUGUAAUUUGAAUGCUUCAACAUUGUAAUUGUUGUACGGCUUACAACGUAUUUGUCACAGUUGAUUUACCUCUGAUUUUGCUGUGUAAUUAGCAUGCUUUUAGGACUGCAAUUCAUGUAUUUUCUUGCUUUUUUAUUUUCUUCUUUUCUUGUGCUAGUGUGUCUCCGUUGCAGUAGUAUUGAGCAGAGGUCCUGUUUUAGGUUGAUGAUUGUUUUUGUGUUCUUUCUAGAUUUGUCUAGUAAAUAGUGUUACAUUAGCUGUUCAUGUGUAUUCUUUAAUGAAGUGUAUGGAGAUUUUGUUCUACUAUUUUACUUCUUUUCUUUUUCCUCCUUCAUGUAUUCUGUUUAUAUGUUUUACUUUAAUGAGUAGGCUACAGAAAGUCUCUCAUCUGGACGUUUGGUUAGUAUCAUCUCUUGACAAUGCAGAUUCUGUGGGUGAACCUAUUGUGCCUAACGACUUUGCGGAAGAUGGUUCUUAUCCUAUGUCUACGGAACUAUCUGGUGAUGAAGGAGGGUUUGACAAAUCUCUUUUGAAGUUCUAUUUGAAUCAAGUGUGUUUUCCUUUUCUUGUACUAUUUUGAUUUUGUUUUGUGUAUUUUCUUUGGGUGGCCCUUGUGUUUUUGUCAUUUCAGAACGUAAAAUGCUUGAAAGGAAAUUAUCAUCUGCUUCCAUGUUCAUAGGCCCAUCUCCUGAGUGUACCUGCAAGCAAAAGGGCAAUUUGUUUUCUAUAGUUGUGCUUUUCUCAGAUUGGUAGCUCUGUGGUAUUUGAAUUUUGCUUUUACUGAAUAUAAUAUCGGAAUGUAGAAGUGCGGUGAUAGAAAAUGUGUCCUGCGACAUAUUUGUUGUGA